UGGCUUUUUAGUAUUAUUUUGGUAUUUUUGUUUUCCAAACAAAGGGUUCUUAAGCUAA
rnacentral:tRNA from 1 species